GAUGAACGCUGGCGGCGUGCCUAAUACAUGCUAGUCGAGCGAACGGACGAGAAGCUUGCUUCUCUGAUGUUAGCGGCGGACGGGUGAGUAACACGUGGAUAACCUACCUAUAAGACUGGGAUAACUUCGGGAAACCGGAGCUAAUACCGGAUAAUAUUUUGAACCGCAUGGUUCAAAAGUGAAAGACGGUCUUGCUGUCACUUAUAGAUGGAUCCGCGCUGCAUUAGCUAGUUGGUAAGGUAACGGCUUACCAAGGCAACGAUGCAUAGCCGACCUGAGAGGGUGAUCGGCCACACUGGAACUGAGACACGGUCCAGUCUCCUACGGGAGGCAGCAGUAGGGAAUCUUCCGCAAUGGGCGAAAGCCUGACGGAGCAACGCCGCGUGAGUGAUGAAGGUCUUCGGAUCGUAAAACUCUGUUAUUAGGGAAGAACAUAUGUGUAAGUAACUGUGCACAUCUUGACGGUACCUAAUCAGAAAGCCACGGCUAACUACGUACCAGCAGCCGCGGUAAUACGUAGGUGGCAAGCGUUAUCCGGAAUUAUUGGGCGUAAAGCGCGCGUAGGCGGUUUUUUAAGUCUGAUGUGAAAGCCCACGGCUCAACCGUGGAGGGUCAUUGGAAACUGGAAAACUUGAGUGCAGAAGAGGAAAGUGGAAUUCCAUGUGUAGCGGUGAAAUGCGCAGAGAUAUGGAGGAACACCAGUGGCGAAGGCGACUUUCUGGUCUGUAACUGACGCUGAUGUGCGAAAGCGUGGGGAUCAAACAGGAUUAGAUACCCUGGUAGUCCACGCCGUAAACGAUGAGUGCUAAGUGUUAGGGGGUUUCCGCCCCUUAGUGCUGCAGCUAACGCAUUAAGCACUCCGCCUGGGGAGUACGACCGCAAGGUUGAAACUCAAAGGAAUUGACGGGGACCCGCACAAGCGGUGGAGCAUGUGGUUUAAUUCGAAGCAACGCGAAGAACCUUACCAAAUCUUGACAUCCUUUGACAACUCUAGAGAUAGAGCCUUCCCCUUCGGGGGACAAAGUGACAGGUGGUGCAUGGUUGUCGUCAGCUCGUGUCGCGAGAUGUUGGGUUAAGUCCCGCAACGAGCGCAACCCUUAAGCUUAGUUGCCAUCAUUAAGUUGGGCACUCUAAGUUGACUGCCGGUGACAAACCGGAGGAAGGUGGGGAUGACGUCAAAUCAUCAUGCCCCUUAUGAUUUGGGCUACACACGUGCUACAAUGGACAAUACAAAGGGCAGCGAAACCGCGAGGUCAAGCAAAUCCCAUAAAGUUGUUCUCAGUUCGGAUUGUAGUCUGCAACUCGACUACAUGAAGCUGGAAUCGCUAGUAAUCGUAGAUCAGCAUGCUACGGUGAAUACGUUCCCGGGUCU
rnacentral:rRNA from 1 species